AAGGGGGAUAACUCUCAUAUGGAAUCUAUAUACGGCUUCGGUCAAAAUAAAACAGAACAUCCUGAGGAUAUAACGAGCAAUUUGGAAAAAUAAAUUUGUCGGUUUCUUAUACGGUUGCGAAGCCUUAGAGAUAACAAGAAAAACAGUGUUCGGGGAGAUAACUCUUUUUUGGAAAGUAUUCGGUUAAGCAGAGUUUGGUUUCAAAAGCGUAUAAACUGUUCGAUAUCAUAUUCCAAAUAUCUAAGCGACAUCUUGCGAAACAAAAAAAACAGCGAAGGAAAAAAAAUUAGGCGGAAGAAAAAAAAAAAAAAAAUAAUAAUAAUUAAAAACCAAUUGUUCAGAGAACAAUUGAAGGUCUUUCCA
rnacentral:lncRNA from 1 species